AAAAAGAUAAGCUAAAAUGAAGCUAAUGGGUUCAUACCCCGCUUAUAGAGAUAAGUCCUCUUCUUUUUG
rnacentral:tRNA from 1 species